CCUACGGGAGGCAGCAGUAGGGAAUAUUGCUCAAUGGGGGAAACCCUGAAGCAGCAACGCCGCGUGGAGGAUGAAGGUUUUCGGAUUGUAAACUCCUUUUGUUAGAGAAGAUAAUGACGGUAUCUAACGAAUAAGCACCGGCUAACUCCGUGCCAGCAGCCGCGGUAAUACGGAGGGUGCAAGCGUUACUCGGAAUAACUGGGCGUAAAGCGCGCGUAGGCGGUAUAGCAAGUCAGAUGUGAAUUCCUAUGGCUUAACCAUAGAACUGCAUUUGAAACUGUUAUUCUAGAGUAUGGGAGAGGUAGGUGGAAUUCUUGGUGUAGGGGUAAAAUCCGUAGAGAUCAAGAGGAAUACUCAUUGCGAAGGCGACCUGCUAGAACAUAACUGACGCUGAUGCGCGAAAGCGUGGGGAGCAAACAGGAUUAGAUACCCUUGUAGUC
rnacentral:rRNA from 1 species